UAUACUUAUUCUUGUUUAUUUUGUGUUAGAGAGCUUAAUUUGAAAAAUAAUUUAUUAUUUAAGUAAUUUUUAAUAAAAUAAUAAAAUGACUAUAGUUUAUUAGUACAGUGGUGGAAUGUAAGUUAAUGUGUAAUAAAGAAUGUUUGUAUUACUAUACCUUGUGUAUCAGGGAAGCUCUACAUAAAUUAACGAUUAUAAAUAUCUCGAAAUAAAAACAGCUAAAUUUAUAUUAUUGUGCUUGUAGAAUAAAGCUUUGAAAUAUAAAUUUAAAGGUGAAAUGUUAUUAGAGUUUUAUUAUAUCUGGUUUUUUUAAAAUAAAAUUUAAUUUUGAUUUUAAAUAUAAUAGAUUUAAAAUUUAACUGUAGGAGGGAGUAGCUUCUUAUAGAUCCUUUUUAAUAGUUAUAUAUAUAAAGUAUUUUGAAACUAGGCUUAAAGGUAGUCAUGUUAGAAAAGUGUUAUUACUUACUGAUAAUAAAUUUUUAUUUAAGAUAACUUUAAACAAGUAUAAAACCUUUUUAUAAAAUAAAAUCAUAAAAGUGAUAAUGAGUUUAUUAGUAUAACUAAUGUAAACUGAUUGUAAAAUAUAAUAACUAAGACAUUAAAAUAUUUAAUGUAAAUGUAAAGGAACUCGGCAAAUAAAUUUCUUGCCUGUUUAUCAAAAACAUGUCUAUUUGAAGAUAUAAAAAGUCUAAUCUGCCCACUGAAAUUAAUAUUAAAGGGCCGCAGUAUAUUGACUGUGCAAAGGUAGCAUAAUCGUUUGGUUUUUAAUUAAGAUCUUGUAUGAAUGAUUUGACAAAGAAAUUCCUGUCUUUAUAUUUACAAAUUGAAUUUAACUUUUAAGUGAAAAGGCUUAAAUAAUUUAAUAAGACGAUAAGACCCUAUAAAACUUUAUAUAUCUUGUUAUUAAUCAAAUUAUUUAGUAAUAAAGAUCUAUAUAACAUGCUUAUAUUAUGUUGGGGUAACAUUUAUAUAAUGAUUAUUAAUUGUAAUUCUUUUAUACAGAACAUAUUUGACUAAGAUUUUAAAUGAUCCUACUUAAAGAUUAAAAGAGUAAGUUACUUUAGGGAUAACAGCGUUAUUUUUUUUGAGAGUUCCUAUCGAAAAAAAAGCUUGCGACCUCGAUGUUGAAUUAAAAUUUCUU
rnacentral:rRNA from 1 species